UACGGAGGGUGCUAGCGUUGUUCGGAAUCACUGGGCGUAAAGCGCGUGUAGGCGGUCUGCUAAGUCUGAUGUGAAAGCCCGGGGCUCACCCCCGGAAGUGCAUUGGAAACUGGCAGACUGGAGUCCCGGAGAGGAGGGUGGAAUUCCUGGUGUAGCGGUGAAAUGCGUAGAUAUCGGGAGGAACACCUGAGGCGAAGGCGGGCUACUGGGCCGAUACUGACGCUGAGGCGCGAAAGCCAGGGGAGCGAACGGG
rnacentral:rRNA from 1 species